UACGUAGGGUGCAAGCGUUAAUCGGAAUUACUGGGCGUAAAGCGUGCGCAGGCGGUUGUGUAAGACAGGUGUGAAAGCCCCCGAGCUUAACUUGGGAAUUGCGCUUGUGACUGGCGUGCUGGAGUGUGGCAGAGGGAGGUGGAAUUCCACGUGUAGCAGUGAAAUGCGUAGAGAUGUGGAGGAACACCGAUGGCGAAGGCAGCCUCCUGGGCCAGCACUGACGCUCAUGCACGAAAGCGUGGGGAGCAAACAGG
rnacentral:rRNA from 1 species